ensembl:lncRNA
CUUUGGCUGCCCCACAUCUAUCAGACGUUGGUUUGGCCGCCCCACAUCUAUCAGACGUUGGCUUUGGCCGCCCCACAUCCAUCAGACGUUGACUUUGGCCGCCCCACAUCCAUCGGACGUUGGUUUGGCUGCCCCACAUCUACCGGACGUUGACUUUGGCUGCCCCACAUCCAUCGGACGUUGGUUUGGCUGCCCCACAUCCAUUGGGAUAUUGGCUUUGGCCACCCCACAUCCCAUCGGACGACGGUUUGGCUGCCCCACAUCCCAUAGGAUGCUGAAUAUGGCCACCCCACAACCCCAAUAUGGCCACCCCAUAUCCCUAAUUAAUUUACCCACCCCAUAUCCUUAAUUUGGCCACCCCACAUCCCAUAGGACGACGGUUUGGCUGCCCCACAUCCCAUAGGAUGCUGAAUAUGGCCACCCCACAUCCCAUAGGAUGACAGUUUGGCUGCCCCACAUCCCAUAGGAUGCUGAAUAUGGCCACCCCACAACCCUAAUAUGGCCACCCCACAUCCCAUAGGAUGACGGUUUGGCUGCCCCACAUCCCAUAGGGUGCUGAAUUUCCCCCCCCCAACCCUAAUAUGGCCACCCCACAACCUUAAUAUGGCCACCCCAUAUCCCUAAUUAAUUUGGCCACCCCAUAUCCUUAAUUUGGCCACCCCACAACCCUAAUAUGGCCACCCCACAUCCCAUAG